rnacentral:rRNA from 1 species
CAGUCGCCGCGGUAAUACGGAGGAUCCAAGCGUUAUCCGGAAUCAUUGGGUUUAAAGGGUCCGUAGGCGGUCUUGUAAGUCAGUGGUGAAAGCCCAUCGCUCAACGGUGGAACGGCCAUUGAUACUGCAGGACUUGAAUUAUUGGGAAGUAACUAGAAUAUGUAGUGUAGCGGUGAAAUGCUUAGAGAUUACAUGGAAUACCAAUUGCGAAGGCAGGUUACUACCAAUUGAUUGACGCUGAUGGACGAAAGCGUGGGUAGCGAACAGGAUUAGAGACCCGAGUAGUCCCUGUCUCUUAUAC